AAGUCCGAAUGUCCCUCGAGGCUUGUACGAGCAUAAGUCCAAGUCGACGGAUGUUGCCUGCCGGCGGCUCAGGCUGACAAAGAAACAGGUCCGGUAGUUCAGGUCGGUAGAGGGCACCCGUGAUUAAGGUGAGGUGGGAGGUUCCACCUCCUACCCCGGCCCACCAGUGGUCGAAACUGCUCGGGGCCCUCAGCUUAGCUGGGAGAGCGGAUGCUUUGCAAACAUCAUGUCAUCGGUUCGAUCCCGAUAGACUGCACCACUUUUUCGGCGUUUAUAGCUCGUCCGGGAGACCGGCUGCCUGAAAAACUCCUAGCAGAUAGGCUGCGAGGCUGUAACGCCCCCACGCACUGCGAUCAUAUCUCUAGAGAUGAAGAGUAGCGGUUUGCCGGACUUGUCCGGCGAUACGGCACGCACAAGCGUGCUUCUUUGACAUUGUGAAUGGGUUUUUUAAUCGAUGCCGUGGUGCGGCGCCGGUUGGUCGAGAGGGUCGCAAGAUCCUUGAGGGCAACGGUGUUCGUAAUCACACAAUAUCUGGCUGAGUUAAUGACCACAUGAUCCGGCGGUGGCCUCAGGGUGUCGUGGUGGUGUGAUCUGCAGGCUUUC
rnacentral:misc_RNA from 1 species